GGAUGUAUAACACGUAAUUGGUAGCGUCGCGGCCUGUAAAGCCGUUGUCCGAAAGGGCUCUGGGGGUUCAAGUCCCUCUGCAUCCAC
rnacentral:tRNA from 5 species